AGCUCCAAUAGCGUAUAUUAAAGUUGUUGCAGUUAAAAAGCUCGUAGUUGGAUUUCUGAUGGGAGUGGCUGGUCCGCCCUUAUGGGGUGUGAACUGUGCUUACUCUCGUCAUCCUUGGGGAAAGCCUUCCUGGCAUUAAGUUGUCGGGUUGGGGAUCCUCAUCGUUUACUGUGAAAAAAUUAGAGUGUUCAAAGCAGGCUUACGCCGUUGAAUACAUUAGCAUGGAAUAAUAAGAUAGGACUUUAGUACUAUUUUGUUGGUUUGCGUACCAAAGUAAUGAUUAAUAGGGACAGUUGGGGGUAUUCGUAUUCAGUUGUCAGAGGUGAAAUUCUUGGAUUUAUUGAAGACGAACUACUGCGAAAGCAUUUACCAAGGAUGUUUUCAUUA
rnacentral:rRNA from 1 species